GACGAACCGAGCGAACGUUGUUCGGAAUCACUGGGCUUAAAGGGCGCGUAGGCGGGUACUCAAGUCUGUGGUGAAAUCCUCCGGCUCAACCGGAGAACUGCCAUGGAUACUGGGUGUCUCGAGGGUGGUAGGGGUAUGCGGAACUAUCGGUGGAGCGGUGAAAUGCGUUGAUAUCGAUAGGAACUCCGGUGGCGAAGGCGGCAUACUGGACCACAUCUGACGCUGAGGCGCGAAAGCCAGGGGAGCAAACGGG
rnacentral:rRNA from 1 species